rnacentral:tRNA from 1 species
AAGGNAANAACAAAAAGGGGAUGUUAUUAUUUUGNCCCCNUAGGCCGAUCGGAUUCUCACUUUCUUANUUUNUUAAAAAUUUCAUUUCCUAANUUUUCUCUAGGACANCCCCUUACUUUUUUCCCGGGGCCUUUAGCUAAGGGUGGGUAGAGCGCACCCCUGAUAGGGGUGAGGGCCCUGGUUCAAGUCCAGGAUGGCCCAUAUCUCUAUGUUGGGGGUAUAGCUCAGUUGGUAGAGCGCCUGCUUUGCAAGCAAGAUGUCAGCGGUUCGAGUCCGCUUACCUCCACUGAUAACCACCCCCUUCCAUAACUGGAAAAAAAGAAAGUAUUUAUGUGGGGANCUUAAUUUGAACGAAUCUAACUUCCGAAAAAAAUUAUUACGAUGCUGGACUCGUUGNAUUAUUUUAUUUGUUUUUAAAAAAUCUUGAAAACUGUUUACAAUUUUUUAAAUACANUAUACAUCUUUAAUGGUGCCUAUUUAUUAUUUGAGCGAAUGCAUUAACAACAAUUUCAUUAANCUGAUGCUUCAAUUUUUUAAUUUUU